rnacentral:rRNA from 1 species
UACGAAGGGGGCUAGCGUUGCUCGGAAUCACUGGGCGUAAAGGGUGCGUAGGCGGGUCUUUAAGUCAGGGGUGAAAUCCUGGAGCUCAACUCCAGAACUGCCUUUGAUACUGAGGAUCUUGAGUUCGGGAGAGGUGAGUGGAACUGCGAGUGUAGAGGUGAAAUUCGUAGAUAUUCGCAAGAACACCAGUGGCGAAGGCGGCUCACUGGCCCGAUACUGACGCUGAGGCACGAAAGCGUGGGGAGCAAAACGG